rnacentral:rRNA from 1 species
GACGAACGCUGGCGGCGUGCUUAACACAUGCAAGUCGAGCGGUAAGGCCUCCUCGGGGGUACACGAGCGGCGAACGGGUGAGUAACACGUGAGUAAUCUGCCCUUCACUUCGGGAUAACCAUCGGAAACGGUGGCUAAUACCGGAUAUGACUCGUCCCUGCAUGGGGGUGGGUGGAAAGUUUUUUCGGUGGAGGAUGUGCGCGCGGCCUAUCAGCUUGUUGGUGAGGUAACGGCUCACCAAGGCUUCGACGGGUAGCCGGCCUGGGAGGGUGGCCGGCCACACUGGGACUGAGACAGGGCCCAGGCUCCUACGGGAGGCAGCAGUGGGGAAUAUUGGACAGUGGGCGGAAGCCUGAUCCAGCAACGCCGCGUGAGGGAUGACGGCCUUCGGGUUGUAAACCUCUUUCAGCUCCGACGAAGCGCCCGUGAGGGUGGUGACGGUAGGUGCAGAAGAAGGACCGGCCAACUACGUGCCAGCCGCCGCGGUAAGAC